GAAGACACAUGAAGAAAUAAGAGAGUAUUGAAAUUACCUUUGCUUCUUAAUUUUGCCAAGUGUUUGCUAUAGAUUAUGGCAUUUUAGAAUUCAAAUAUUUCUUUUCCUAAUCAGCUUACACGCUUAAUUGGUUUAUAUACCUUUAAGAACCCCUCCCCUUCUGACCAAAAAAGGAACAGAAACUGUUGAUGGCAAAAGCAAAAUGACCACAAUAAACAGGCCCUUACCAUUAAGAUAGAUAAAUAAAUAAUGAGUAUGCAACACAUUAUUGUUACACUUCACUGACAAUAGUUCCAGAGUUCGAAAAAACUGUUAAAUGUUGAAGGGAAUGGCUUCUCAGAUUUCUUUACAUCUAGCUCUACAAAAAGAAUCUCUUCAAUGCCCAACACAGUUCU
rnacentral:misc_RNA from 1 species